UAAACCUGAGGGUGCCUGUCAAUAUGAGAGUUGACUGGAAAGCUAUAUUGUGCUGAAAGUCUCUCUUAGAUGUAAUGGGUUGUAGGAUUUAAACUGUUCUCCACUGGGAACUUGCUCCAUCUCCCCACCCUCUUUGUGUUUGGAGUGCCAAAAGCAAUAUGGAUAUCUGUUAGCAAGAUGCUACAUCCUAAUGAGGGUCAUUCAUACAACCUUUUUUGCAUUCAUACUGAAUACCUGACACCACUUCUUUUCACUUCAGACUCAGUGAUUAGCUCCACAAUAUGCAAUUACAUUGCUGUCUUAACUAGCUGUUUUCCUCAAGGAUCACAUUGCAAAUGAGCAUUAUGAUGGUUGAAGAGUUUUUUCUGAAAAGUAAAAUGAACUAUAACAUGCAAAAACAGAGUUCGGAUCUGUGGGAAACAAAACAGCAUGACUGGAAGAUGAAAUCACUGGAAACAGAAUAAGAAACAAAAAUGCCAGGUGGGAGACAGACCCACUGAAAAGCGACAAUUAGUUCAAAAGAGAACAAGCUGACCACAGAAAUUCCUUCAGACAACCGCAGCAGCCAUUUCAGGAUCACUCAUCAGAAUCAAUUUCUGACUCAUCUUGCAGGCCAAUAUGAACUUGAACAGCAAUUGUAGCAGUCUCCUACAAGAAAAUUUCUCCUUAUGUUUUUAAAGGUUUUGUGUAUAUAUAUAAAAACAAGAAGGGAGUUAAACUUUGAUGCCUGCAUGGUUUGGGCCUUAUCAUUUGGGUCUCAUCCUGCUCCCAUUGAAGACUGCCUUGAAUCAAUAUCAGGCCCUUGAUUUUCAGUGCGUCCCAUCGCUGCAGUGAAGGCUAGGGAUUAGGGCCAGACUCCUUCAAUGGAUAGUGUGAAAUUAAAAUGUUUUUUGCCUCCAUCUUUGAUUGAGCAUGCAUGGAAGAUCUCUAGCUGCAAGAUGCAUGUACAUUUACAAGAUGUAAACCUGCAAAGCCUGGCUUUGGGGGAAUAUUUAUUCUGGUUUCAGAUAAUGACCCUUGCCACUUGGCAUGUGUUUAAACUGGGGAUUUCCAAAUGCAA